AUUGCCCUAGUAACGGCGAGUGAAGCGGCAACAGCUCAAAUUUGAAAGCUGGCUCCGGCCCGCAUUGUAAUUUGCAGAGGAUGCUUUUGGUGAGGUGCCUUCCGAGUUCCCUGGAACGGGACGCCACAGAGGGUGAGAGCCCCGUAUGGAUGGACACCAAACCUGUGUAAAGCUCCUUCAACGAGUCGAGUAGUUUGGGAAUGCUGCUCAAAAUGGGAGGUAAAUCUCUUCUAAAGCUAAAUACCGGCCAGAGACCGAUAGCGCACAAGUAGAGUGAUCGAAAGAUGAAAAGCACCUUGAAAAGGGGGUUAAACAGUACGUGAAAUUGUUGAAAGGGAAGCAUUUAUGACCAGACUUGCGCCGGGCAGCUCAUCAGGGGUUCUCCCCUGUGCACUCUGCCCGGCUCAGGCCAGCAUCGGUUCUCGUGGGAGGAUAAGAACGGUAGGAAUGUGGCCCCCUCUCGGGGGGGUGUUAUAGCCUGCCGUACGAUACUCCCGUGGGGACCGAGGUUCGCGCUCCGCAAGGAUGCUGGCGUAAUGGUCAUCAAUGACCCGUCUUGAAACACGGACCAAGGAGUCGUCCAUUAGAGCGAGCGUUUGGGUGUAAAACCCGCACGCGUAAUGAAAGUGAACGCAGGUGAGAGCUUCGGCGCAUCAUCGACCGAUCCUGAUGUUCUCGGAUGGAUUUGAGUAAGAGUUUUAACGGACGGACCCGAAAGACAGUGAACUAUGCUUGUAUAGGGUGAAGCCAGAGGAAACUCUGGUGGAGGCUCGCAGCGGUUCUGACGUGCAAAUCGAUCGUCAAAUAUGAGCAUGGGGGCGAAAGACUAAUCGAACUGUCUAGUAGCUGGUUACCGCCGAAGUUUCCCCUC
rnacentral:rRNA from 1 species